GUCUAUGGCCACACCACCCAGAACAUAACUAAUCUUGUCUGAUCUUGGAAGCUAAGCAUGGUCAGGCCUGGUUAGUACCUGGAUGGGAGAACUACCUGUGUCUAGUGGCC
ensembl:rRNA 5S_rRNA 5S ribosomal RNA